rnacentral:rRNA from 1 species
GACAGAGGGUGCAAACGUUGUUCGGAAUUACUGGGCGUAAAGCGAGUGUAGGCUGUCUGCUAAGUCGGGUGUGAAAGCCCUGGGCUCAACCCAGGAAGUGCACUCGAAACUGGCGGGCUAGAGUAUCGGAGAGGUUGGUGGAAUUCUCGGUGUAGAGGUGAAAUGCGUAGAUAUCGUGAGGAACACCAGAGGCGAAGGCGGUUUCCUGGACAGUUACUGACGCUCAGGCACGAAAGCAUGGGGAGCAAAAGGG